rnacentral:lncRNA from 1 species
GGAGUUGUGCAUGCUACCUUCCUUGGGGCAAGCAUCUGACAAGUGACAUUUUGAGGGCAGGGGGCUGAAAACUACACCCUCAGAUCAUACCAACAGCUCCAUUUUCUGUGCAUGUGUCUUCUGACCACACAUGGGCAGACCACCAAUUACUUCACCUUCCCCAGCCUCACACUACCAUGCCCUAAAACUCAGAGAACUCUAUUUCUUUAUCCCAUAAACACUUGGACACACUACCAUCAGGAAAGACUCUAAUAAAACAACUCUUCAUGGAUCAAUUCUUUCUUUUGUGCAAAAGAAACUGAUUGACACAUUUUCAGUGAUUGACACAUUACAAGGUAAGCGGACUUCACUGUGCUUGGUAACGUCUUGAAAAGCAAAGUGCUAUGAACUUUUCAUUUUAUUGAUGUUCUUUGAUUCUCUGGGUAACCCUGUUUAUUACUUUCUUGUUUAGCCUUUAAUAAAUGUAGAAAAAAUAUAUCCCUUCUCCUUGUGCCAUUGACAGUUUGUAAUUUUUAUACCUUAAAAUUUUUAUGAUAAGAAUAAUUCAUGUUUGUUUUUUACAGUAAAUCCACCACUAUAGGAAAAGGGAAAAGUGCUAACCUUCAAAACAUUUCCCAGUCACAGCUACUGUAAAUUGUUUUAUGCGAAUCAUGAUGUUUUCUAAUGAUCAUGUUAGUAGCA